AUUGAACGCUGGCGGCAGGCCUAACACAUGCAAGUCGAGCGGAUGAAGGGAGCUUGCUCCUGGAUUCAGCGGCGGACGGGUGAGUAAUGCCUAGGAAUCUGCCUGGUAGUGGGGGAUAACGUCCGGAAACGGGCGCUAAUACCGCAUACGUCCUGAGGGAGAAAGUGGGGGAUCUUCGGACCUCACGCUAUCAGAUGAGCCUAGGUCGGAUUAGCUAGUUGGUGGGGUAAAGGCCUACCAAGGCGACGAUCCGUAACUGGUCUGAGAGGAUGAUCAGUCACACUGGAACUGAGACACGGUCCAGACUCCUACGGGAGGCAGCAGUGGGGAAUAGUGGACAAUGGGCGAAAGCCUGAUCCAGCCAUGCCGCGUGUGUGAAGAAGGUCUUCGGAUUGUAAAGCACUUUAAGUUGGGAGGAAGGGCAGUAAGUUAAUACCUUGCUGUUUUGACGUUACCAACAGAAUAAGCACCGGCUAACUUCGU
rnacentral:rRNA from 1 species